rnacentral:rRNA from 1 species
UUGACCUCGGAUCAGGUAGGGAUACCCGCUGAACUUAAGCAUAUCUAAGGG